rnacentral:rRNA from 1 species
UACAGGGGGCGCGAGCGUUGCUCGGAAUCACUGGGCGUAAAGCGAACGCAGGCGGACCGUUAAGUCGAAUGUGAAAGCCCGGGGCUCAACCCCGGAAGUGCAUUCGAAACUGGCGGUCUUGAGUACGGGAGAGGUGGGUGGAAUUCCUGGUGUAGAGGUGAAAUUCGUAGAUAUCGAGAGGAACCCCUGCGGCGAAGGCGGGUUGCUGGGCUGACACUGACGCUGAGGCGCGAAAGCCAGGGGAGCGAACGGG